rnacentral:rRNA from 1 species
ACGGGUGAGUAAUACAUCGGAACGUGCCCAAUCGUGGGGGAUAACGCAGCGAAAGCUGUGCUAAUACCGCAUACGAUCUACGGAUGAAAGCAGGGGAUCGCAAGACCUUGCGCGAAUGGAGCGGCCGAUGGCAGAUUAGGUAGUUGGUGAGGUAAAGGCUCACCAAGCCUUCGAUCUGUAGCUGGUCUGAGAGGACGACCAGCCACACUGGGACUGAGACACGGCCCAGACUCCUACGGGAGGCAGCAGUGGGGAAUUUUGGACAAUGGGCGAAAGCCUGAUCCAGCCAUGCCGCAUGCAGGAUGAAGGCCUUCGGGUUGUAAACUGCUUUUGUACGGAACGAAACGGUCUUUUCUAAUAAAGAAGGCUAAUGACGGUACCGUAAGAAUAAGCACCGGCUAACUACGUGCCAGCAGCCGCGGUAAUACGUAGGGUGCAAGCGUUAAUCGGAAUUACUGGGCGUAAAGCGUGCGCAGGCGGUGAUGUAAGACAGUUGUGAAAUCCCCGGGCUCAACCUGGGAACUGCAUCUGUGACUGCAUCGCUGGAGUACGGCAGAGGGGGAUGGAAUUCCGCGUGUAGCAGU